AUAGAACACUAUACCUGGAAUGGUUUGUGUUCCAAAUGAAUGUCGCCGUAGGAUGGGACUGCGGCCUAUCAGUUUGUUGGUGAGGUAAUGGCCCACCAAGACUAUUACAGGUACGGGCUCUGAGAGGAGUAGCCCGGAGAUGGGUACUGAGACACGGACCCAGGCCCUAUGGGGCGCAGCAGGCGAGAAAACUUUGCAAUGUGCGAAAGCACGACAAGGUUAAUCCGAGUGGUUUGUGCUAAACGAACCUUUUGACAGUCCUAGAAACACUGUUGAAUAAGGGGUGGGCAAGUUCUGGUGUCAGCCGCCGCGGUAAAACCAGCACCUCAAGUGGUCAGGAUGAUUAUUGGGCCUAAAGCAUCCGUAGCCGGCUCUGUAAGUUUUCGGUUAAAUCUGUACGCUCAACGUACAGGCUGCCGGGAAUACUGCAGAGCUAGGGAGUGGGAGAGGUAGACGGUACUCGGUAGGAAGGGGUAAAAUCCUUUGAUCUAUUGAUGACCACCUGUGGCGAAGGCGGUCUACCAGAACACGUCCGACGGUGAGGGAUGAAAGCUGGGGGAGCAAACCGGAUUAGAUACCCGGGUAGUCCCAGCUGUAAACUAUGCAAACUCAGUGAUGCAUUGGCUUGUGGCCAAUGCAGUGCUGCAGGGAAGCCGUUAAGUCUGCCGCCUGGGAAGUACGUACGCAAGUAUGAAACUUAAAGGAAUUGGCGGGGGAGCACCACAAGGGGUGAAGCCUGCGGUUC
rnacentral:rRNA from 1 species